GACGGCGAUUAGACCUACAAUAUUUCAAACGAAAAAUUAUACAUACAACUAGAUUUAAUGAAAAUAAUAUGCUGAAAACAAUUGUGGAAUCAGAAUUCAACUUCGGAGGUAUUAUUUGCAGUCAGUACUUACUUUUUAGUAUUUGUAUUUGGAGUGAUCCUGCUAUUGUUUUGAAUGCUAGUAGAAUUACCGACCGAAGCAAUAUCUAUGGUUACGGAGUGCGUGGGCGUUACUUCGUCGUCCUGAGUCGAUACUUCCGUCCAACUUGUCAUGAAUUGAUGAGUGUUGAUGUUAUUCUUUAUACUCUCGUAAUAACUGAAAAUAUCACGCCGUAUCCUAUAAUAGUAAAAACUACAAUCGUCGAAAAUAUUUUAUUACGAAUAUGAUGUACGCUGUGGCCGUGAACGUGCAAGCUUAUUAGUAUUACAAUUUGCACUAAAAUCCAUCUCCGUAAAAUGCGGAAAUGAAAAAUACAUUAGUCCGGAACAUCGUAGAUAAGAUCGGCGUCUAGGCUGUGACAGUUUGAUGUCGCAAUGAAAACGUACCUUAUUAACGCCUAUUAUAAUAUAGUUAUUAUGGUUAGCAUACACUAAGAUUCUUUGACUCUAUUAUAAUUAUAUUUUAUAAAUUAUAAUAAUAUACUACGUACCCGUUGGACGGCUGAUUGUUUUGCGGUUUUUGUUGUUGC